ACUCAAAUGAAUUGACGGGGGCCCGCACAAGCAGUGGAGCAUGUGGUUUAAUUCGACGCAACGCGCAGAACCUUACCCGGGCUAGAAAAGCACGGAACCCGAAUGAAAGUUUGGGGUGCCCGCAAGGGAACCGUGAUCCAGGUGCUGCAUGGCUGUCGUCAGCUCGUGUCGUGAGAUGUUGGGUUAAGUCCCGCAACGAGCGCAACCCUUGUCCUUAGUUGCCAUCAUUCAGUUGGGCACUCUAAGGAGACUGCCGGCGUCAAGCCGGAGGAAGGUGGGGAUGACGUCAAGUCCUCAUGGCCCUUAUGUCCGGGGCUACACACGUGCUACAAUGGUCGGUACAGAACGGCGCGAACCCGCGAGGGGAAGCCAAUCGGCAAAAGCCGACCUCAGUACGGAUUGCAGUCUGCAACUCGACUGCAUGAAGCCGGAAUUGCUAGUAAUCGCUGAUCAGCAGGCAGCGGUGAAUACGUUCCCGGGCCUUGUACACACCGCCCGU
rnacentral:rRNA from 1 species